rnacentral:rRNA from 1 species
AGAUUAAGUUAUUAAGGGCGCACGGUGGAUGCCUUGGCACUAGAAGCCGAUGAAGGACGUUACUAACGACGAUAUGCUUUGGGGAGCUGUAAGUAAGCUUUGAUCCAGAGAUUUCCGAAUGGGGAAACCCAGCAUGAGUUAUGUCAUGUUAUCGAUAUGUGAAUACAUAGCAUAUCAGAAGGCACACCCGGAGAACUGAAACAUCUUAGUACCCGGAGGAAGAGAAAGAAAAUUCGAUUCCCUUAGUAGCGGCGAGCGAAACGGGAAGAGCCCAAACCAACAAGCUUGCUUGUUGGGGUUGUAGGACACUCUAUACGGAGUUACAAAGGACGACAUUAGACGAAUCAUCUGGAAAGAUGAAUCAAAGAAGGUAAUAAUCCUGUAGUCGAAAAUGUUGUCUCUCUUGAGUGGAUCCUGAGUACGACGGAGCACGNNNNNNNNNNNNNNNNNNNNNNNNNNNNNNNNNNNNNNNNNNNNNNNNNNNNNNNNNNNNNNNNNNAACCAGUACCGUGAGGGAAAGGUGAAAAGCACCCCGGAAGGGGAGUGAAAUAGAACCUGAAACCGUGUGCUUACAAGUAGUCAGAGCCCGUUAAUGGGUGAUGGCGUGCCUUUUGUAGAAUGAACCGGCGAGUUACGAUUNGAUGCAAGGUUAAGCAGUAAAUGUGGAGCCGUAGCGAAAGCGAGUCUGAAUAGGGCGNUUUAGUAUUUGGUCGUAGACCCGAAACCAGGUGAUCUACCCUUGGUCAGGUUGAAGUUCAGGUAACACUGAAUGGAGGACCGAACCGACUUACGUUGAAAAGUGAGCGGAUGAACUGAGGGUAGCGGAGAAAUUCCAAUCGAACCUGGAGAUAGCUGGUUCUCUCCGAAAUAGCUUUAGGGCUAGCCUCNNAAGUGAUGAUUAUUGGAGGUAGAGCACUGUUUGGACGAGGGGCCCCUCUCGGGUUACCGAAUUCAGACAAACUCCGAAUGCCAAUUAAUUUAACUUGGGAGUCAGAACAUGGGUGAUAAGGUCCGUGUUCGAAAGGGAAACAGCCCAGACCACCAGCUAAGGUCCCAAAAUAUAUGUUAAGUGGAAAAGGAUGUGGCGUUGCCCAGACAACUAGGAUGUUGGCUUAGAAGCAGCCAUCAUUUAAAGAGUGCGUAAUAGCUCACUAGUCGAGUGACACUGCGCCGAAAAUGUACCGGGGCUAAACAUAUUACCGAAGCUGUGGAUUGUCCUUUGGACAAUGGUAGGAGAGCGUUCUAAGGGCGUUGAAGCAUGAUCGUAAGGACAUGUGGAGCGCUUAGAAGUGAGAAUGCCGGUGUGAGUAGCGAAAGACGGGUGAGAAUCCCGUCCACCGAUUGACUAAGGUUUCCAGAGGAAGGCUCGUCCGCUCUGGGUUAGUCGGGUCCUAAGCUGAGGCCGACAGGCGUAGGCGAUGGAUAACAGGUUGAUAUUCCUGUACCACCUAUAAUCGUUUUAAUCGAUGGGGGGACGCAGUAGGAUAGGCGAAGCGUGCGAUUGGAUUGCACGUCUAAGCAGUAAGGCUGAGUAUUAGGCAAAUCCGGUACUCAUUAAGGCUGAGCUGUGAUGGGGAGAAGACAUUGUGUCUUCGAGUCGUUGAUUUCACACUGCCGAGAAAAGCCUCUAGAUAGAAAAUAGGUGCCCGUACCGCAAACCGACACAGGUAGUCAAGAUGAGAAUUCUAAGGUGAGCGAGCGAACUCUCGUUAAGGAACUCGGCAAAAUGACCCCGUAACUUCGGGAGAAGGGGUGCUCUUUAGGGUUAACGCCCAGAAGAGCCGCAGUGAAUAGGCCCAAGCGACUGUUUAUCAAAAACACAGGUCUCUGCUAAACCGUAAGGUGAUGUAUAGGGGCUGACGCCUGCCCGGUGCUGGAAGGUUAAGAGGAGUGGUUAGCUUCUGCGAAGCUACGAAUCGAAGCCCCAGUAAACGGCGGCCGUAACUAUAACGGUCCUAAGGUAGCGAAAUUCCUUGUCGGGUAAGUUCCGACCCGCACGAAAGGCGUAACGAUUUGGGCACUGUCUCAACGAGAGACUCGGUGAAAUCAUAGUACCUGUGAAGAUGCAGGUUACCCGCGACAGGACGGAAAGACCCCGUGGAGCUUUACUGUAGCCUGAUAUUGAAAUUCGGCACAGCUUGUACAGGAUAGGUAGGAGCCUUUGAAACGUGAGCGCUAGCUUACGUGGAGGCGCUGGUGGGAUACUACCCUAGCUGUGUUGGCUUUCUAACCCGCACCACUUAUCGUGGUGGGAGACAGUGUCAGGCGGGCAGUUUGACUGGGGCGGUCGCCUCCUAAAAGGUAACGGAGGCGCUCAAAGGUUCCCUCAGAAUGGUUGGAAAUCAUUCAUAGAGUGUAAAGGCAUAAGGGAGCUUGACUGCGAGACCUACAAGUCGAGCAGGGUCGAAAGACGGACUUAGUGAUCCGGUGGUUCCGCAUGGAAGGGCCAUCGCUCAACGGAUAAAAGCUACCCCGGGGAUAACAGGCUUAUCUCCCCCAAGAGUUCACAUCGACGGGGAGGUUUGGCACCUCGAUGUCGGCUCAUCGCAUCCUGGGGCUGUAGUCGGUCCCAAGGGUUGGGCUGUUCGCCCAUUAAAGCGGUACGCGAGCUGGGUUCAGAACGUCGUGAGACAGUUCGGUCCCUAUCCGUCGUGGGCGUAGGAAAUUUGAGAGGAGCUGUCCUUAGUACGAGAGGACCGGGAUGGACAUACCUCUGGUGUACCAGUUGUCGUGCCAACGGCAUAGCUGGGUAGCUAUGUGUGGACGGGAUAAGUGCUGAAAGCAUCUAAGCAUGAAGCCCCCCUCAAGAUGAGAUUUCCCAACUUCGGUUAUAAGAUCCCUCAAAGAUGAUGAGGUUAAUAGGUUCGAGGUGGAAGCAUGGUGACAUGUGGAGCUGACGAAUACUAAUCGAUCGAAGACUUAAUCAAAUU